GACUGACAUCAGAGAUUCAUUCUGAGAACCUUGACCAACAGCCAGGUAGGCAUUCAUGCCUAGCUCUUUCAUCUGCUCUUCACCAAUCACUUUUGUUGUAAUAUGGCUAUUGGCAGAAUCUGCGAGCUGGCGUGCCUGAGAAGCCAGAUAAGCGGCAUUACAGAUAUUGGGUGGCAUAUUACUAAGAUCUUUGGC
rnacentral:antisense_RNA from 1 species